UACGUAGGGUGCGAGCGUUGUCCGGAAUUAUUGGGCGUAAAGGGCUCGUAGGCGGUCCAUCGCGUCGGGAGUGAAAAGCUGGGGCUUAACCCCAGUCCUGCUUUCGAUACGGGUGGACUAGAGGUAGGCAGGGGAGAAUGGAAUUCCUGGUGUAGCGGUGAAAUGCGCAGAUAUCAGGAGGAACACCAAUUGCGAAGGCAGCUCGCUGGAACGUAACUGACGCUGAGACGCGAAAGCGUGGGGAGCAAACAGG
rnacentral:rRNA from 1 species